AAUUCCAGCGAGCACUGUAGAGCAACUUAACUGAUCACCACAAAAGUUGUCAUGUAAUUUUCAACUUGAUCUUAAGAUUGUGGAUCUGCCGCUGAGAAGGAUAUAGAUACAUCUAUCAUUUUUUGUAUGUGACUGAGAAAAAUUAAAAAAUGAGGGCAUAUCUAUAUUCAACUUGAUCUUAAGCUUGUAGCAAGUACAACAUGCGUCAAGUAUACGCGUGUAUUUUUCCUGUUCUUCGAUAUUGUUUAAAGUGCAGAAUGGAAAAAAAUGGUGCAAAGAAGGAGCACUAACUGCUUUGGAUUUGGUGGCUGAGUCAUCGAAGGUACUACUCUUCCAGUUGUUAAAAUUUUAUUUAGGCUCAAUUAUGCUUUUGCUUCUGAUUUGGAUGAUGAUGGUUGAUAAAGUAUAUAUCAACAGGAGCACUUCCUAUUUGCAAACUAUCCUGGUAAAUGCAAAGGAUAAGUCUAAUCGCAUACUCCGAGCCAAAUUCACCGGCUGCAUAAGCUUGGACUGGAUUGUCGUUGCCAAGAUGCGCAAUUGAAAAUUUUCAAAUGAAUUGGAUCGUUAGCAGUACUCACUGUUCUGUCGGUGUAUUCGUUCUAUCUAGAGGUAAAAGUGCAAAAAAUAUUGAGAAGUUUCAAGUGCAUUAUCUGAUUUAUGUGUUUAACUUUCCUUUUGUGACUUCCGUUAAACAGGGCAAUGCUAAUUUUCUAUCACAUAAUGUAAAGAAGUGCUGACUGGCCAACCGGUUCUCACUUACGAUGCAUGCACAGAAAGCCGUUGUUAAUGAAUUUUCGGGAAGAGUUGGGCACAUGUAAAUGGAAGAUUGUGCCUUAUAUGAAGAAGAAUAUAAAGGUAAGCAUUAUUUUGACCUUUGUGAUUUUAGAAAUUUAUUAUAGCAAAUUUUUAAUUUUUCAUAGAGGUGUCAGCUUCAUAUAUGAAACUUCCAAAUUCCAAUUAAGCAGAACCCUUGAAAUAGUUCUUGUCAUUUAAAGUAUCAACAUAAGAACUUCAAAACUAUUGAGCAAUGAAUGACAACACUAUUCUGGGAGCAAAAUAUUAGUAUUACUUGGCUUAAAAUGAGAAGCUU
rnacentral:lncRNA from 1 species